rnacentral:rRNA from 1 species
GAUCCUGGCUCAGGAUGAACGCUAGCUACAGGCUUAACACAUGCAAGUCGAGGGGAAACGACAGUAAAGCUUGCUUUAUUGGGCGUCGACCGGCGCACGGGUGCGUAACGCGUAUCCAACCUGCCCCCAACUCCGGAAUAGUCCCCCGAAAGGGGGGUUAACGCCGGAUGCUGCAAUUUUUCCGCAUGGUGAAAUUGCGAAAUGAAAAAGGUUGGGGCUGGGGAUGCGUCCCAUUAGGUAGUAGGCGGGGUAACGGCCCACCUAGCCGACGAUGGG